UCCCUGGUCACUCAGAGGUUAAAGCGUCUGCCUGGAAUGCAGGAGACCUGGGUUCAAUCCCUAGGUUGGGAA
rnacentral:tRNA from 1 species